GGGGAUUUAGCUCAGUGGUAGAGCGCUUGCCUAGGAAGCGGGUUCGGUCCCCA
rnacentral:tRNA from 1 species